UACGUAGGCAGCAAGCGUUGUUCGGAAUUACUGGGCGUAAAGAGUGUGUAGGCGGUGCUCCAAGUCUGGUGUGAAAUCUCCCGGCUUAACUGGGAGGGUGCAUUAGAAACUGGAAUGCUAGAGGAUGGGAGAGGUAAGCGGAAUUCCUGGUGUAGCGGUGAAAUGCGUAGAUAUCAAGAGGAACACCAGUGGCGAAGGCGAGUCCCUGGACAACUUCUGACGCUGAGGCACGAAAGCUAGGGGAGCAAACAGG
rnacentral:rRNA from 1 species